AUGGGGAUGCAGACAGCUACCCCCGAGGGGCAGGACCGGCGGCAAUUGGACACGGGUCCAGGUCCUCUCCCACCAACUCUUCUCCUAACUGUGAGCUCCAGUGAAGAAAUCGCAAGCAGCAAGUUUGCAACCAUUGUCUGUUCAAUCAUCGAUUUCCAUCCAAAGUCAAUCUCCGUGAGUUGGUUGAAAAAUGGCCUACUCUUGGAUUCUGGCUUCUUCACGUCUCCCGUGUGUGAGGCGAACGGCAACUUCUCGGUGACGAGUCGGCUGAUGGUCCCUUAUGGUGAAUGGUACAACAGCGCAGUCUAUACCUGCCAGGUCACUCAUGAAGACAACGUUCAAAGUAAAAACAUCACCGCACUCCAGGAAGAUACCGAGUGCCACCCUAACACGGUUAAAAUCCUCCCACCGCCAGUAGCACAAGUCUUAUUGGAGGCGACGGUGACGUUAACCUGCGUUGUGUCCAAUCUUCCUUCUGGAGUCAACGUGACCUGGAAACAAGAAAAGAAGCCUCUGAAAUCAGAGAUUGCUGACCAGCCUGGACAGAAUCCCGACAGCGUGAUCAGCAAAUUAGACAUUUCUACUGAAGCCUGGCUGAGUGGCGUUACUUUUGAAUGUGUGGUGUACCAUCAGAAUCUCCCGACUCCGCUGAGAGACUCCAUCCACAAGGAGAAAGUGAUUAAUCCGCUGGAGCCAUCAGUGUCGGUCCUCCUGCCACCAACAGAAGAAAUCUCCGCUCAGAGGUUUCUCUCCCUCACCUGUUUAGUGAGAGGUUUCUCCCCCCGAGAGAUCUUCGUCAAGUGGACAAACAAUGACAAGCCGGUGAAUCUCAGUAACUACAAGAACACCGAGGUGAUGGCGGAGAGUGACAACACUUCCUUCUUCAUCUACAGCCUGCUAUCCAUUACAGCGGAGGAGUGGGCCAGCGGUGCUUCUUACUCCUGUGUGGUGGGACAUGAAGCGAUUCCAUUGAAGAUCAUCAACAGAACAGUCGAUAAAUCCAGCGAUUCAAUAGAUAGCACUUGGAUUGAAGACUAUGAGGAUGGUAACAGCAACAUCUGGACAACUGCUUCCACGUUCAUCACCUUGUUCUCCCUGAGUAUUUUCUACAGCGCUGCCGUCACUCUGGUGAAGCGCCGCUCAACAACCGCUGCCACUGCCGGCUCUCGGCAAGGAACGGCAGGCGGGGGAAGGCAUUUACUGCGCAUGUUCCCUCCCAGCCCACCACCUACUGCGCAUGCUCUGGCCAAGAGCGGGAAGGUUAAACGGUUCAACGGAAAGUUCUGGAACGUGCGCCGCUCAACAACCGCUGCCAUUGCCGGCUCUCGGCAAGGAACGGCAGGCGGGGGAAGGCAUUUACUGCGCAUGUUCCCUCCCAGGCCACCACCUACUGCGCAUGCUCUGGCCAAGAGCGGGAAGGUUAAACGGUUUAACGGAAAGUUCUGGAACGUGAAGAGUGGAGGAUUGUUGAUCAAACUGGAGACCUGUGACGAAUAA